AGUAACGCGUGAGUAACCUGCCUUACACAAGGGGAUAGCCUUUGGAAACGAAGAAUAAUACCCUAUAAAACCAUAAAAGCAUAUGCUAGAAUGGUCAAAGUGAUAGCGGUGUAAGAUGGACUUGCGUCUGAUUAGCUAGUUGGUGAGAUAAAAGCUCACCAAGGCAACGAUCAGUAGCCGGCUUGAGAGAGUGUACGGCCACAUUGGGACUGAGACACGGCCAG
rnacentral:rRNA from 1 species